rnacentral:rRNA from 1 species
CUUGACUAGCUGAGAGGAGGUGCAUGGCCGUCGUCAGUUCGUACUGUGAAGCAUCCUGUUAAGUCAGGCAACGAGCGAGACCCACGCCAACAGUUGCCAGCUCGUCCUCCGGGGAUGGUGGGGACACUGUUGGGACCGCCUCUGCUAAAGAGGAGGAAGGAAUGGGCAACGGUAGGUCAGCAUGCCCCGAAUUAUCUGGGCUACACGCGGGCUACAAUGGGUGGGACAAUGGGUAUCGACACCGAAAGGUGAAGGCAAUCUCCUAAACCCAUCCGUAGUUCGGAUUGUGGGCUGCAACUCGCCCACAUGAAGCUGGAAUCUGUAGUAAUCGUGUCUCAAAAUGGCACGGUGAAUAUGUCCCUGCUCCUU